UGCCAGCCGCCGCGGUAAUACGAAGGGUGCUAGCGUUGUUCGGAAUUACUGGGCGUAAAGAGCAUGUAGGCGGCUUGAUAGGUGAGAUGUGAAAGCCCACGGCCCAACCGUGGAAUUGCGUUUCAAACCCUCAAGCUCGAGGAAGAUAGGGGUGAUGGGAACUUAUGGUGGAGCGGUGAAAUGCGUUGAUAUCAUAGGGAACACCGGUGGCGAAAGCGCAUCACUGGAUCUUUUCUGACGCUGAGGCACGAAAGCUAGGGUAGCGAACAGGAUUAGAUA
rnacentral:rRNA from 1 species